CGCGUAGGCGGCCAGAUAAGUCGGGCGUGAAAGCCCUCGGCUCAACCGGGGAACUGCGUUCGAUACUGUUUGGCUUGAGUCCUGGAGAGGGUGGCGGAAUUCCGGGUGUAGGAGUGAAAUCCGUAGAUAUCCGGAGGAACACCGGUGGCGAAGGCGGCCACCUGGACAGGUACUGACGCUGAGGUGCGAAAGCGUGGGGAGCAAACA
rnacentral:rRNA from 1 species